GAUGAACGCUGGCGGCGUGCCUAAUACAUGCAAGUCGAGCGAACGGACGAGAAGCUUGCUUCUCUGAUGUUAGCGGCGGACGGGUGAGUAACACGUGGAUAACCUACCUAUAAGACUGGGAUAACUUCGGGAAACCGGAGCUAAUACCGGAUAAUAUUUUGAACCGCAUGGUUCAAAAGUGAAAGACGGUCUUGCUGUCACUUAUAGAUGGAUCCGCGCUGCAUUAGCUAGUUGGUAAGGUAACGGCUUACCAAGGCAACGAUGCAUAGCCGACCUGAGAGGGUGAUCGGCCACACUGGAACUGAGACACGGUCCAGACUCCUACGGGAGGCAGCAGUAGGGAAUCUUCCGCAAUGGGCGAAAGCCUGACGGAGCAACGCCGCGUGAGUGAUGAAGGUCUUCGGAUCGUAAAACUCUGUUAUUAGGGAAGAACAUAUGUGUAAGUAACUGUGCACAUCUUGACGGUACCUAAUCAGAAAGCCACGGCUAACUACGUGCCAGCAGCCGCGGUAAUACGUAGGUGGGCAGCGUUAUCCGGAAUUUAUGGGCGUNAAGCGCGCGUAGCGGUUUUUUAGUCUGAUGUGAAAGCCCACGGCUCAACUCGUGGAGGGUCAUUGGAAACUGGAAAACUUGAGUGCAGAAGAGGAAAGUGGAAUUCCAUGUGUAGCGGUGAAAUGCGCAGAGAUAUGGAGGAACACCAGUGGCGAAGGCGACUUUCUGGUCUGUAACUGACGCUGAUGUGCGAAAGCGUGGGGAUCAAACAGGAUUAGAUACCCUGGUAGUCCACGCCGUAAACGAUGAGUGCUAAGUGUUAGGGGGUUUCCGCCCCUUAGUGCUGCAGCUAACGCAUUAAGCACUCCGCCUGGGGAGUACGACCGCAAGGUUGAAACUCAAAGGAAUUGACGGGGACCCGCACAAGCGGUGGAGCAUGUGGUUUAAUUCGAAGCAACGCGAAGAACCUUACCAAAUCUUGACAUCCUUUGACAACUCUAGAGAUAGAGCCUUCCCCUUCGGGGGACAAAGUGACAGGUGGUGCAUGGUUGUCGUCAGCUCGUGUCGUGAGAUGUUGGGUUAAGUCCCGCAACGAGCGCAACCCUUAAGCUUAGUUGCCAUCAUUAAGUUGGGCACUCUAAGUUGACUGCCGGUGACAAACCGGAGGAAGGUGGGGAUGACGUCAAAUCAUCAUGCCCCUUAUGAUUUGGGCUACACACGUGCUACAAUGGACAAUACAAAGGGCAGCGAAACCGCGAGGUCAAGCAAAUCCCAUAAAGUUGUUCUCAGUUCGGAUUGUAGUCUGCAACUCGACUACAUGAAGCUGGAAUCGCUAGUAAUCGUAGAUCAGCAUGCUACGGUGAAUACGUUCCCGGGUCU
rnacentral:rRNA from 1 species